GACGAACGCUGGCGGCGUGCUUAACACAUGCAAGUCGAGCGGAAAGGCCCUUUCGGGGGUACUCGAGCGGCGAACGGGUGAGUAACACGUGAGUAAUCUGCCCCUGGCUUUGGGAUAACCACCGGAAACGGUGAUUAAUACCGGAUACGACCACUUCUCGCAUGGGAUGGCGGUGGAAAGUUUUUCGGCCAGGGAUGUGCUCGCGGCCUAUCAGCUUGAUGGUGAGGUAAUGGCUCACCAUGGCUUCGACGGGUAGCCGGCCUGAGAGGGUGACCGGUCACACUGGGACUGAGACACGGCCCAGACUCCUACGGGAGGCAGCAGUGGGGAAUAUUGGACAAUGGGCGGAAGCCUGAUCCAGCAACGCCGCGUGAGGGAUGACGGCCUUCGGGUUGUAAACCUCUUUCAGCAGGGACGAAGCGCAAGUGACGGUACCUGCAGAAGAAGCACCGGCCAACUACGUGCCAGCCGCCGCGGUAA
rnacentral:rRNA from 1 species